rnacentral:rRNA from 1 species
UGAGACACGGCCCAGAAUCCUACGGGAGGCAGCAGUGGGGAAUAUUGCACAAUGGGCGCAAGCCUGAUGCAGCAACGCCGCGUGAGGGAUGACGGCCUUCGGGUUGUAAACCUCUUUUAGUAGGGAAGAAGCGCAAGUGACGGUACCUGCAGAAAAAGCACCGGCUAACUACGUGCCAGCAGCCGCGGUAAUACGUAGGGUGCAAGCGUUGUCCGGAAUUAUUGGGCGUAAAGAGCUCGUAGGCGGUUUGUCGCGUCUGCUGUGAAAACUGGAGGCUCAACCUCCAGCCUGCAGUGGGUACGGGCAGACUAGAGUGCGGUAGGGGAGAUUGGAAUUCCUGGUGUAGCGGUGGAAUGCGCAGAUAUCAGGAGGAACACCGAUGGCGAAGGCAGAUCUCUGGGCCGUAACU